CCAGAGAACUUUCCAGAGAUGGAUUGGUGCCUUCGGGAACUCUGAGACAGGUGCUGCAUGGCUGUCGUCAGCUCGUGUUGUGAAAUGUUGGGUUAAGUCCCGCAACGAGCGCAACCCUUAUCCUUUGUUGCCAGCGGUUAGGCCGGGAACUCAAAGGAGACUGCCAGUGAUAAACUGGAGGAAGGUGGGGAUGACGUCAAGUCAUCAUGGCCCUUACGAGUAGGGCUACACACGUGCUACAAUGGCGCAUACAAAGAGAAGCGACCUCGCGAGAGCAAGCGGACCUCAUAAAGUGCGUCGUAGUCCGGAUUGGAGUCUGCAACUCGACUCCAUGAAGUCGGAAUCGCCAGUAAUCGUGGAUCAGAAUGCCACGGUGAAUACGUUCCCGGGCCUUGUACACACCGCCCGUCACACCAUGGGAGUGGGUUGCAAAAGAAGUAGGUAGCUUAACCUUCGGGAGGGCGCUUACCACUUUGUGAUUCAUGACUGGGGUGAAGUCGUAACAAGGUAAGCGUAGUGCU
rnacentral:rRNA from 1 species